rnacentral:rRNA from 1 species
GACAUGGCAGGACGAUUUCCAGAGAUGGAUCUCUUCCAGCAAUGGACCUGCACACAGGUGCUGCAUGGCUGUCGUCAGCUCGUGUCGUGAGAUGUUGGGUUAAGUCCCGCAACGAGCGCAACCCUCGCCCUUAGUUGCCAUCAUUCAGUUGGGCACUCUAAGGGGACUGCCGGUGAUAAGCCGAGAGGAAGGUGGGGAUGACGUCAAGUCCUCAUGGCCCUUACGGGCUGGGCUACACACGUGCUACAAUGGCGGUGACAGUGGGAUGCGAGCCUGCGAGGGUGAGCAAAUCUCCAAAAGCCGUCUCAGUUCGGAUUGCACUCUGCAACUCGAGUGCAUGAAGUUGGAAUCGCUAGUAAUCGUGGAUCAGCAUGCCACGGUGAAUACGUUCCCGGGCCUUGUACACACCGCCCGUCACACCAUGGGAGUUGGCUUUACCCGAAGGCGCUGCGCUAACCCGCAAGGGAGGCAGGCGACCAC